UCCGGUUUGACACCGGCAGUCCCCCUAGAGUCCCCGGCAUGACCCGAUGGUAACUAGGGGCAAAGGUUUCGCUCGUUAAGGGACUUAACCCGACAUCUCACGACACGAGCUGACGACAGCCAUGCAGCACCUGUGCCCGUUCCACCCCGAAGGGCGUACCCGGCUUUCACCGGGGUAAUCCAGGCAUGUCAAGCCCAGGUAAGGUUCUGCGCGUUGCUUCGAAUUGAACCACAUGCUCCACCGCUUGUGUGAGCCCCCGUCAAUUCCUUUGAGUUUUAGCCUUGCGACCGUACUUCCCAGGCGGUCGACUUAGCACUUUUGCUGCGGCCGCGAAGACCGUCAGAGGUUCCGCGACCUAGUCGACAUCGUUUAGGGCCAGGACUAC
rnacentral:misc_RNA from 1 species